AGCCCUGAAAAUCUUCACAGAAUGUGGUCCAUGUUCGAACUGAGUUGAAGCCUUAUGACUCUGCCAUCAUGGAGCGCUCCCUUCCGCUUUUCCUCAAAUCCUAAUAGAAUUUGACCAGAGCAGGUUUUAGAAGAACCAUACACACAGGUUUCCUUGUGGGCUAGCAGACUACUUCGAAGCUGUUUCAACAGAAGACCAUAUGACAAUUUAAACUCCCUUAUAAACUAGAAAAUAUGUAUUAACCACUUUGUCUUGUUGUAAUUACUCUAGUCAUAUUGCACUACAUCUUCCUCUUGCAAGCAUCUGCAUCAUAAACCACCCUAAAGAAACCAAGUAGAACAUGAUAUAUUAUUCAAACAGUUAAAAGGAGCCUCUAGCCCAGAGACACUUCUCUUUGGUCUUUGCAAUCCUCUGCACAACAAAAUUGGAUGCAGCAGAUGAGCUAAUGAGAUGGAAGUAACACUGUUAAUGACCACAGAUGAAUGAAAUGAGACUCUGAUUGUGAUUACAUGUUCCUGCAGCUGCUUUAUAAGUUAGGUUGUGCUUCUCUUUCUUUUUAGUGGGAGGAAAAACAGUGUGUUGUCUACAGCUGCUAUUUCACUGGGAACUAAGAAGUCUACACAGCACUGAAGAACUUCUUUUUAAAGAAAGAUUGAAGAGCUCCAAGGCAAUGGAGAGCACCAU
ensembl:lncRNA